AAGUCGUAACAAGGUUUCCGUAGGUGAACCUGCGGAAGGAUCAUUAAUGGGAUUAGACCUCUCAGGUCUUAACCUUCAACCCUAUGUUGUCUUUACCAUGUUUCUUUGGCAGGGUGAUACCUGUCAGAAGUCUUCUUGAACUCAGUAAUAAUCAUGUCUUCUGAAUAAUAAACAAAUAAAUUAAAACUUUCAACAACGGAUCUCUUGGUUCUG
rnacentral:misc_RNA from 1 species